rnacentral:rRNA from 1 species
UACGAAGGGGCUAGCGUUGCUCGGAAUUACUGGCGUAAAGGGCGCGUAGGCGGGUCAUUAAGUUUGUUGUUAAAUCCUCUGGCUUAACCAGAGACAAGCAAUAAAACUGGUAACCUAGAGCGUGAGAGAGAGAAGUGGAAUUCCCGGAGUAGCGGUAAAAUGCGUAGAUCGUCGGGAGGAACACCAAUGGCGAAGGCUGCUUCUUGGCUCGAUUGCUGACGCUGAGGCGCGAAAGCGUGGGGAGCAAACAGG